ensembl:lncRNA
GAGUUAGUUAGUCCUUUAGUCCAUAGCAUUCCCCUAAGUGUUUGUUUUCUUCUUCCCUCUGUAGUCUUUGAAAAGUACCACAGUAGCAACAACGUUUUCGGGAGACCCAGCCCAGAACGUUUUCCUUUCUGCAAUUGUGCCACCACAGAUCUAGCUACCGAACAAACCCCUCACCUCCACUGCCUCACAUCUUCACACACACAGGAACUGGUUAACUUAACCCCUCUGUCCAGAGAGAAGAGAGAGAGAAACAAAGACAGCUGUGCGUAGCUGUGUUAUCCUCACUAGUCAGCUAGCUAGCCCAUGCAUGGUGCCUCUGUCUGUUCUGAGGUAGGGAGAUAGCGUGUGAGGGUCUUAAGUCAGCUAGCUAGCCCAUGCAUGGUGCCUCUGUCUGUUCUGAGGUAGGGAGAUAGCGUGUGAGGGUCUUAAGUCAGCUAGCUAGCCCAUGCAUGGUGCCUCUGUCUGUUCUGAGGUAGGGAGAUAGCAUGUGAGGGUCUUAAGACAGCUAGCUAGCCCAUGCAUGGUGCCUCUGUCUGUUCUGAGGUAGGGAGAUAGCGUGUGAGGGUCUUAAGUCAGCUAGCUAGCCCAUGCAUGGUGCCUCUGUCUGUUCUGAGGUAGGGAGAUAGCGUGUGCUGGAAUAAAACAUCUUCCCCAUAUACCCACCAACGUGUGGGUCAUCGGCCAAUUCCCCUUUGGAAUCUGCAUGUCAUGUGACAGCCGGGGGCCUGAAGGUGGAGUGGCUGCUUCCUGUACCCC